UAUGUACUUCCUCUGUUUGGAAUUACUUGUCACAAGUAUGGAUGUAUCUAAAUGUAUUUUAGUUCUAGAUACAUCCAUUUCUGCGACGAGUAAUUUGGAACGGAGAAGGUACAUA
rfam:Triticum aestivum genome assembly, contig: Triticum_aestivum_CS42_TGACv1_scaffold_290655_4AL